rnacentral:rRNA from 1 species
UACGAAGGGGGGCUAGCGUUGCUCGGAAUCACUGGGCGUAAAGCGCACGUAGGCGGCUUUCUAAGUCAGGGGUGAAAUCCUGGAGCUCAACUCCAGAACUGCCUUUGAUACUGGGUAUCUUGAGUAUGGAAGAGGUAAGUGGAAUUGCGAGUGUAGAGGUGAAAUUCGUAGAUAUUCGCAGGAACACCAGUGGCGAAGGCGGCUUACUGGUCCAUAACUGACGCUGAGGCGCGAAAGCGUGGGGAGCAAACGGG